rnacentral:rRNA from 1 species
CAGCAGCCGCGGGAAUACGAAGGGUGCAAGCGUUAAUCGGAAUUACUGGGCGCAAAGCGUGCGUAGGCGGUGAGUUAAGUCUGCUGUGAAAUCCCCGGGCUCAACCUGGGAAUGGCAGUGGAUACUGGCUCGCUAGAGUGUGUCAGAGGAUGGUGGAAUUCCCGGUGUAGCGGUGAAAUGCGUAGAGAUCGGGAGGAACAUCAGUGGCGAAGGCGGCCAUCUGGGACAACACUGACGCUGAGGCACGAAAGCGUGGGGAGCAAACAGGAUUAGAGACCCCCGUAGUCCCUGUCUCUUAUAC